AUUGAACGCUGGCGGAAUGCUUUACACAUGCAAGUCGAACGGCAGCACGGGGGCAACCCUGGUGGCGAGUGGCGAACGGGUGAGUAAUACAUCGGAACGUGCCCAGUCGUGGGGGAUAACGUAGCGAAAGUUACGCUAAUACCGCAUACGAUCUACGGAUGAAAGCGGGGGACCGUAAGGCCUCGCGCGAUUGGAGCGGCCGAUGUCAGAUUAGGUAGUUGGUGAGGUAAAGGCUCACCAAGCCGACGACCUGUAGCUGGUCUGAGAGGACGAACAGCCACACUGGGACUGAGACACGGCCCAGACUCCUACGGGAGGCAGCAGUGGGGAAUUUUGGACAAUGGGCGCAAGCCUGAUCCAGCCAUUCCGCGUGCAGGACGAAGGCCUUCGGGUUGUAGACUGCUUUUGUACGGAACGAAAAGGCUCUGGUUAAUACCUGGGGCUCAUGACGGUACCGUAAGAAUAAGCACCGGCUAACUACGUGCCAGCAGCCGCCGCAG
rnacentral:rRNA from 1 species